rnacentral:rRNA from 1 species
UACGAACCGUACGAACGUUAUUCGGAAUCACUGGGCUUAAAGGGUGCGUAGGCGGUGCGGAAAGUUGGGUGUGAAAUCCCUCGGCUCAACCGAGGAAUUGCGCCCAAAACUACCGUGCUAGAGGGAGACAGAGGUGAGUGGAACUUAGGGUGGAGCGGUGAAAUGCGUUGAUAUCCUAAGGAACACCAGUGGCGAAAGCGACUCACUGGGUCUCUUCUGACGCUGAGGCACGAAAGCUAGGGGAGCAAACGGG